ensembl:lncRNA
GGCUUUAGAAACCACCUAGUCCAGUUACUUCAUGUUACAGUGGUCAUGUAUGGAUGUGAGAGUUGGCCUAUAAAGAAAGCUGAGUGCCGAAGAAUUGAUGCUUUUGAACUGCGGUGCUGGAGAAGACUCUUGCGAGUCCCUUGGACUGCAAGGAGAUCCAUCCAGUCCAUUCUAAAGGAAAUCAGUCCUGAAUAUUCAUUGGAAGGACUGAUGUUGAAGCUGAAACUCCAAUACUUUGGCCACCUGAUGUGAAGAACUGACUCACUGGAAAAGACCCUGACUCUGGGAAAGAUUGAAGUCAGGGGAAGAAUGAGAUGACAGAGGAUGAGAUGGUUGGAUGGCAUCACCGACUCAAUGGACAUGAGUUUGAGAGGUGGAGCGCACCUGGAUGGAUCGUAAUAAGGCUGAUGGCCCAGGUCCGAUGCAUGGUAGCUGCUGUGUUACAGCCGUAGACUCUCUCACAAGGUGCCCAGCUGAUGUACGGGGUGAGGAGAGACCAGCAGAUGUUCACUGUCACGACUGUGAAAGUCCCCCGAGAAGGAGUCGGUGUAUUUAGAACACCACCACCAGUAUGUGCUUUCGAACUGUGAUGCUAGAGAAGACUCUUGAGAGUCCCUCGGACUGCAAGGAGAUCAAACCAGUCAGUCCUAAAGGAAAUCAACCCUAAAUAUUCAUUGGAAGGGCUGAUGAUGAAGCUGAAACUCCAAUACUUUGGCCGCCUGAUGGGAAGAGCUGACUCAUUGAAAAAGACCCUGAUGCUGGGAAAGAUUGAGGGCAGGAGGAGAAGGGGGCGACAGAGGAUGAGAUGGUUGGCUGGCAUCACUGACUCAGGACAUGAGUAUGAGCAAACUCCAGGAGAUGGUGAAGGACAG